AGAAUCAACGCUGGCGGCGUGCCUAACACAUGCAAGUCGCACGAGAAAGGGUAGCAAUACCUGAGUAAAGUGGCGCACGGGUGAGUAACACGUGAAUAAUCUACCUCCGAGCGGGGAAUAACUGAGAGAAAUCUUAGCUAAUACCGCAUAACACUUACGAGUCAAAGCAGUAAUGCGCUUGGAGAGGAGUUCGCGGCAGAUUAGCUAGUUGGCGGGUAAUGGCCCACAAGGCGAUGAUCUGUA
rnacentral:rRNA from 1 species